AGCUUUGCGCAGUGGCAGUAUUGUAGCCAAUGAGGUUUAUCCGAGGCGUGAUUACUGCUAAUUGAAAAGAUAUAUAUAUAUA
rnacentral:snRNA from 1 species